AACGAACGCUGGCGGCAGGCUUAACACAUGCAAGUCGAACGCCCCGCAAGGGGAGUGGCAGACGGGUGAGUAACGCGUGGGAAUCUACCCAGAUCCUCGGAACAACUGAGGGAAACUUCAGCUAAUACCGGAUACGCCCUACGGGGGAAAGAUUUAUCGGUUCUGGAUGAGCCCGCGUUGGAUUAGCUAGUUGGUGAGGUAACGGCUCACCAAGGCGACGAUCCAUAGCUGGUCUGAGAGGAUGAUCAGCCACACUGGGACUGAGACACGGCCCAGACUCCUACGGGAGGCAGCAGUGGGGAAUAUUGGACAAUGGGCGAAAGCCUGAUCCAGCCAUGCCGCGUGAGUGAUGAAGGCCUUAGGGUUGUAAAGCUCUUUCAGUAGGGAAGAUAAUGACGGUACCUACAGAAGAAGCCCCGGCUAACUUCGUGCCAGCAGCCGCGGUAAUAC
rnacentral:rRNA from 1 species